CAAGAAGCCGAAAGGCUACUUAAAACCAUCGCGAACUUAUCCAAGUUGCUUCGGCGGCGCGGCUCCCCUCACGGGGGACCGCAGCCCCCGCCUCUCAGGAGGUAAGGGUGCAGCCGCCGGAGGUACGAAACUCUGUAUUAUAGUGGUAUCUCUGAGUAUAAAACAAAUAAGUUA
rnacentral:misc_RNA from 1 species